GCCGAGGUCGCCUAGCCAGGUAGGGCGGCGGCCUGCUAAGCCGUUGGGGGAAACCCCGCACGGGUUCAAAUCCCGUCCUCGGCG
rnacentral:tRNA from 1 species